CCAGGCCUGACUCGCCCCUCCAGGUUGUGGGAGAGAAGGGAACCUCAGCCAGUGGGUUUUUACCUAUUUUCCUUCCCUUACAAGUGCGUUGUGUGGGUUCUGGCAUCAGUCUGGGGGUGGUGUUUGCGCCUGAAUGCUGGUGUGCGUGGGCAGUGUGUUGUUUGUGUGCUGGGGUAGGAGGAUGCCAGCCUCCUGUGUGAAUCGCUGUUCAGGGGCCUGAAUGUAGGAGGCGUUUGUGGGCAUGUACCUGUGAGUGUUUGCCUCGAUAGGGGUGUGUGGGUGUGUGUGUGUGUGUGUGUGUGCGCGUGCGCGCACACGAGCUCGCACACGUGUGACAAGCAGGCCUCCCUCUGGGCCUGGCUGCUGUCCCCUAAACCGGUAAACAAAUCUCUAACAACAAUCAUAAUAACAAUAAAUAAUAAAUAACAAUAAAAACAGUAGUUAACAGUCCCUCCCUAGCAGAAUAACAAUAAAAUGCAAGAGGGGCUAUUUUGAGAAGGGCACAGGGGAAGGAGUCAUGAUCACAGCAACUGAGGAAAGACAGGAAAGGAAGUUAGCUUCUUCCUCUGCCCUUGAGGGGCUGGGUUUGGGAACCCCCUCUCCGAUGAGGUCCUCCGGCCAGAGGAGGAGAGGGAGAGCCGGGAGGCCGCUCUGUCCUGCUUGUCUUUCUCAGCUUUUGCUUUGUGCGAUCAGGGGAGGAACCCCACGCAGGGGAACGGUUAGUGGCUUUGGGGUCUCUUUGGUGGCCCUGUUUGAAGGAGGAGGCAGGCCAAGGGUGCAGGGUCAGGCCCAGGGGCAGAAAGGGAUGAGGCGAUGACCACAGUCGGGGAUCCAGGCCCGGCAAGCGGCAGAGGUGCCGGAGAGGACCAGCCGCCGGGCAGAGAUCGAAGCAGAAAAACAUUUAUGGCCGCGCGCCCGAAAGCGGGGAGCAAGGCCGGGGCUCUGGUAGCCCUGGGAAGGUUGCCUUCCUGAGGUCUUUAAAAAAGAGGAGAGAGAGCGAGAGAGAGAGAGAGAGAGAAGGGAGGGGUUGGGGCGCCUUGAAUUUUCCUUCCCGGGCUUGGAGCGCAGCGCAUUUCUGUAAAGGAAGAGAAGAGCACCGUCCUGGAUCUUUCCACGUCCGCCUCAUUCUAUCCAGGCCUCUCCCCUUGCCCGAGCUCUCAGCCGCCACCAGGAGACUGACACGGAAGGGGCUUCUGGGCCGCCCCCCACCAACUCCUGCCUGGUUUCCCAAACUUCAGCGACCUCCAGCCCUCUUUGGGUGGAAAAUAGCAGGGCCCAGGCACCUCUUCUUCUUGUCAUUUGUGACCCGUGCUCUCAUCAGGAAUAUCUUACAAAGAAGGAGAGGAAGAAAGGUUGGCUAGAGCCCUGUUUAUAUCUAGUUCUGCAGAUCCCUUCACAUCUGGAGAGUUUAUUUAUAACUCCCACUAUAACUCUCUCUGUUUGGAGGCACUGGUGGCUCUAUUGACAGACUGAUGUCUAGAAAAUAUUGCUCUAUCUCUAACCAUAUCUAAAUGUGCUGCGGUUGUAUGUACAGAUUUAUGCUCGAGGGAAAUAUAAUUAUUUCCAUUGUAUUUGUGCAUAUACAAUAGUUAUAGGAGCAGAUUUAUAUAUGGGAAAAUAUAUGACUCUCUUAUAGCCAUCCA